rnacentral:lncRNA from 1 species
AACUGCUAUUUGUAGAACUAAAUAUCAUGCACAAAAAAUUGUGAUGCCAUGUAUACAAGCACACGAUCCCCUAAAAAUGUAUACACACACACAAAGCAUCAACCUCCCUAUAUUCAAACUUCUGUCAUUGAUAUUUCUGAACGUUUUUGGCAUGCUCCCAGGUUUUCAAAUAGAAUACACGGAGACUUCCAUGCACGAACAGCCAGCAUCGGCCGUGGCAACGCCUCUUUCUCCGGCAAAUCGAACUUCACUCCUAUGUACAGAAUACAUGAUUUAAGCCCUGAAAAAACACAAAAGAAUCUUGAAAUAUUUUUGUUCUACCCUGAACACACUCAUCUCAUGUCAAAGUUUUUCCAGUAUUAGAUUAGUAGCAUGACAUACAGACAAAACUUGGCUAUAAAAAUCAGUUAGUACACAAGAUUGCUAUCUGUUUGAACAAGUUCAACAGAGACAAACGAUGUAUUGAGAAGCAAUUAGAGAGAGAGAGGUGUCGUACUGAGAAGCAAUUAGAGAGACAAAGUAGUGCCAAGCACAUGCACAUGCACAUGUGUGGUUCUUGGUGGCAUCCACGAAUCAGUUUUUUAAGCGAGUAACGAAUGGUGCAGCUGUUCUAUUGAGAAGCUCUGGCUGUUUGGUCUGCACGGGAGACAGGUCGCACCAGCGUGGCCGGUCAUACCCGCGGCGAACAGAGCGACGCAAACCUCCUCGCGAUUAGCAUCAGCAGGGCAAUACCUGAACUGCAGGUGGCCGUGUUGGUGAGCGGCUGAGGCGGUCGAAGGAAAAAAAUCACAUCGUUGGAGUUGCCAUCUGCAAGGAAUGACGAAGAUCUCUGCAACAGAAGAAGAACAACUAGAGUAACUAGCAGACGGUCAGAUAAUAAGCCAUGGUCGACCCGGAGCACGGCAACGACAUCUGCCUGGUGGAAUGGGG